ACGGGACGCUCUCAAGUCAUGCCACUGAAGUUCUGCACCCUGGAUGAUCCAAUGUCUUCAUCAGCACACUCUCUCCAUAACUUUCAGGACCAUCAUCAGGACAUCUGGCAGUUCUUCAUCCUCUGUAAAUGCAGAUUCAGAAGAUAUUCCAGGAGGAAACCGAUUUGGCAAAAGAGAAAAAAUCUCUGGCAGCCGGAUCAUCUCCGUCUCUUAGUGUCAAUUAAAAGUGAAAUAUCUGCAUUUGUCAACAUAUCAUUUGUGGUGGGCCCGUGAUGCACUGCUGAUUUGUCGGCCGAUUCCUGACACCAGGGAGGGAAUGCCGAGGCGGCAGUGUCCCUCAUUAGACCUGGAGCUGGCACCAUGAUGGCUGACACCGCCGGGAGGCUUCGCUCCCCGUCGACAUGAUACUAACCCGGGAACAGGCCUCGUCUGUCAGUCCUGUCACUUGCCAGCCAGCCAUCCAGUCAGGGAGAGCGAGGGGCAGAUGGGUGGAGGAGGAGGUGCACAAGGGUGGGUGGGAGGCAGAGUGGGAGGGUGCACUGU